rnacentral:rRNA from 1 species
UACGAGGGGGGCGAGCGUUGUCCGGAAUCACUGGGCGUAAAGCGCGCGCAGGCGGCGAUCUACGUCUGGGGUGAAAGCCCGGAGCUCAACUCCGGGACUGCCUUGGAUACGGGAGUCGCUUGAGGAUUGGAGAGGCAAGGGGAAUUCCACGUGUAGCGGUGAAAUGCGUAGAUAUGUGGAGGAACACCUGUGGCGAAGGCGCCUUGCUGGCCAAUUUCUGACGCUGAGGCGACGAAAGCGUGGGGAGCAAACAGG